GCCGUGAUCGUAUAGUGGUUAGUACUCUGCGUUUGGCCGCAGCAACCCCGGUUCGAAUCCGGGUCAUGGCA
rnacentral:tRNA from 1 species